GCAUUUGGUUUCAAAAUAAAAGUUUUAUUGGAGAUGAUGGCAAAAUCGGACAGUAACUUGUAUCUUUUACAAGAUUUGAAUUUGUAAUACUCAGUCUAAGACAUGUAGUUUUGGAGCACAUUUUACAGUGUACGGUUCAUCAGUUUGGAAUGAGACGUACCAAUCGGCAUUAGAAUUAUCAGGUCCCUUCGAUAUAAUUGAAAAUAUGCCGAGGCGAUGUGGUCGGCAGACUAAAGCCAAUCACCCUACAAACACGCCAAAACAGUAUUGGAAAGUCUCAUUAUUUUUUGCGUUCAUAGACCAUAUGAUAAGGGAACUGGAGAGUGGAGUCGCGUCUAGUAUUAUCAGAAAAUCGCUUCUUUGUGCUGUAUCUGCUUCAUCGUGUUGUAGGAAAUAUAACAGACGAACAAAUCUCAACAUUGUCUGAGACAUACGAAACUGACCUGGUAAUUUUGACGAAGUUAAUUGGGAGGUCGCUCGAUGCCGAACAUGUACGCUGGUUUAUAACAUCUUGCGAGUGCUACCAUGGAGAUCUAUCAGUGUACUACGUAUGUUGAAAACAAAUGUACGAUCAACAAUGAACAACGACAUGCAGUUACUGCAUAUUCAUCGGUAUUUCAGUGUGAAUAUUGACAAAGUAAUAGAGAAGUUUGUUUCUGCCUAGACCCGAAGAGCAGAUUUUUGACGAUUUUGAGUAAAUUCUGUAUCACAAAUACAUGAAUGUUUUGUUUAUGUAUUACUCUAUUCAGAAGAUUUAUUAAUAGUUUUACAAUCAUAUUUUUUUAUAAGUCCUGACUACAUAUAACGCCUCUUUUAACCGUCCUAUGACCGAAAACCGAAAAAAAAACAUUUUUCUGCAUAAAAGGGACCCAAACUCGGCGGGAGUUGCUUGCACAUUGUUUCUUUCUAGCUACGCCCCUGACGAAACUGUUAAAUAACUGUUCUUAAUCUGUAAUUCAACUUACGCAUUGACAUAAAACACCCAAGUUAUGUGUUUCGCCUUGUCAUUCAUUUACGGGAUUGUUAAUAAUGGGGAUAGAAACGACAGUCAUGAUAUUGGAAUAUGCUAAAUUAAAUUCUACAAAAACAAGAUAAUAGUAUAUAUCGUUCAAACGAUACAUCACUCAAUCUAAGAUGCACACUUUAGAGCUAUUUUCCAAAUGCUUGUAGUUUAAAGUUUUGUUUGAUAACUUGCUUUGAUUAUAUAACUGAUUGC
rnacentral:lncRNA from 1 species